AGUGAAGCUGCUCUCUGCUCUACUGAAGGAUCCACACUGUAAACUGAAGAAACUAUAUAUUUGACGGUGUAAACUCCACAAGCUCCAAACAACUGAAUCAAAACAACACGUCCUGAACAAGACUGUCACCUGGACAAAUGCUGAUAUUGUAGUGAAUUUGCUUUCACCACCUUAGGGAGGCGAAAUAGUGCAGUGAUGGGUACAUGUCACUGUUGACGUUAUGAUUUUUGGAUCACGUGUCUCUUAAGGUGUGGUUAUGAGUACAUCACAUAAGAAAGAUUGGUGGGAAACCUAACUUGUAGAGCCUCUUUCUGUAUCAACACAAGGAAGACACAAGAGUUAUAAAAUUAGUUGUAUUAAGAAUAGAUAAACAAAUGUAAUCAACAACUACUAAACAAAAACCAUUAAAGAAAAAGCAAAAGUAAUAAAGUAAUAAAGUGCAUAAGUUGCAUAAAAUGCAAGUGAUUACGUUGGGUGUUGCUUUGUCAGAGCUGUGUGACCCUCCCUUCUUUCCUCCUGUGAAACUUAUUUGCAUAGUCCAAACACACAUUUAGAAAAGUGUCACUUAAGUUUUACCGGUGCAUUUUCACUUUCCAAACCACAACCAGAAUACUUUCGGCAAUGUUAUGAACACUUCAAGUCCAAACACGAUGAAACAUCUUUGUGUAAAAUGUUGCACUACACUACACUACACUACUUGUGCAGACACAAUUCUAUAAUGAUACAAUUUACUCAAUGAUUUUUUUUUUAUGACAUUGAUUGGAAAGUCUAUGUAUGUCAUUUGUAUGACAUUGAGAUUUAUUUUUAUUUAUUUAUUUAUUUUUUGAAAAAUGUAACAUAAAUAGGUUAAGCAAAACAAACAGUACAAAUAUUUUGAGCAUCCCUUAUUCUUUUCCUUUAUUUUCUAAUAAUCACAAUUCUGAAGUUGGCAACAGUGGGGAAAAUCAUAAAGUUGUAUGUUAUAGACACUGAUUGGAAAGUCUAAGCUGGAAAUCAAAACUGGAAUGGAAAGUAAAGAAGCCUUCUUUGUUUGAAGGUGAUGUCUGAUGUGAUAAGAGGACUGGGUGUCACUGAUAGACCCUGUUAGUUUUGGGGUACCCCCUUUCCCCGUGGCUCUUGUCCACACACAGAUGUUAGGUGGAGGGAGAGGGGCCCCGACCUGCUUAUGCUGAGAAGACCAGAGCCGUAUUUAUCAAGCUUCUCAAAGUGACAUCUUAGUCUUAAGUGCUGAGAAUUCAUGAAAUUUACUCCUACUUUUAAACUUAACAUAAAAUCAAUUUAUCAAAUUAAAGCUAUGAAUCACUCUUACUCUCCCAGACAGCUCGAGAGGUCUCUCAAGUGGUUAGGAGGAGUUGUCAGUAGGGGCUUGUGAUGACACGAGGAGACAGAGACAUGCACAUUAUCGAGCUGAGGCAUCACCUGUAGUCUUCAGUUUAUCCUGGUUCAUCUCUGCUGCUGGUCAAUCCUAGUUCUCCUACACAAGGAUUCUCCAUAAAAAAGACAAGAUAAUCCAUUUCAUGAGGAGCAGAGUUUUCCUCUCUACCUCUAAACUCACAACUGAAGUUAAAGUGUGACCAAGUUCUGCUUUACAAAACAGUGUCUCAGUGGUGACUGAACCAGCUUGACUGGUUAAAUUUAAUUAUUGCAAAUGCACUCUGGUAAUGGAAAGAUUUGUGUACAGUAGAUAAAUGUAAUGCUUGUACUUGUGUGCAUGUGUGUGUAAAUAAAAUCUUUGCAAAUUGCAAAACUAACUUCUAAAUCCUUUUAAUAUCUGCAGAUGUUUAAAACCAUUUUUCUUUAAAAGCUCACAUUUUGUCAAUGUCAGUUGUCUUUAUUUAUUGCUUGUGGUAAAUGUUGUAUUUAUUAAUCAUGUCUACUGGUCAUGUGUAUUCACUACUGAGAUUUGAAAAACAUGAAUAUGUGAAAUUGUUCUGCACAGGAGCUUGGGUUCACGCUGUGUGUCUUUUCCUCCUUUGCCAAGUCAUAGAAGAGAGUGUGUAUCAUAAUCCUGUUUUUCUGCAUGACAAGUCAUAUGGUUGAUACUUUGUUAUCCUUAAUGCAUUACAUGUGAGCAAUUAUAUAGUCAAUUAAUAUG